rnacentral:rRNA from 1 species
UUCCGGUUGAUCCUGCCGGAGGUCAUUGCUAUUGGAGUUCGAUUUAGCCAUGCUAGUUGUACGAGUUCAGACUCGUAGCGAAUAGCUCAGUAACACGUGGUCAAACUACCCUGUCGAUCGGGAUACCCUCGGGAAACUGAGGCUAAUCCCGAAUACGGCUCGAUGCCUGGAAGUUGGCUCGAGCUCGAAACGCUCCGGCGCGACAGGAUGUGGCUGCGGCCGAUUAGGUAGACGGUGGGGUAACGGCCCACCGUGCCGAUAAUCGGUACGGGUUGUGAAAGCAAGAGCCCGGAGACGGAAUCUGAGACAAGAUUCCGGGCCCUACGGGGCGCAGCAGGCGCGAAACCUUUACAAUGCACGCGAGUGCGAUAGGGGGACUCCAAGUGCGAGGGCAUAUAGUCCUCGCUUUUGUGUACCGUAAGGUGGUACACGAAUAAGGGCUGGGCAAGAAUCGAAUUCCCG